rnacentral:rRNA from 1 species
UGCCAGCAGCCGCGGUACUACUAAUGGUGCCAGCGUUGUUCGGAAUCACUGGGCGUAAAGCGUGCGUAGGCGGUUUAGUAAGUCGAUUGUGAAAUCCCCGGGCUCAACCCGGGAACUGCAAUCGAUACUGCUUUGCUAGAGUUUAGUUGGGGAUAGUGGAAUUCCUAGUGUAGGGGUGAAAUCCGUAGAUAUUAGGAGGAAUACCGGUGGCGAAAGCGACUAUCUAAGCUAAUACUGACGCUGAGGUACGAAAGCGUGGGGAGCAAACAGGAUUAGAUA